AGUGAACGCUGGCGGUAGGCCUAACACAUGCAAGUCGAACGGCAGCACAGUAAGAGCUUGCUCUUACGGGUGGCGAGUGGCGGACGGGUGAGGAAUACAUCGGAAUCUACUUUUUCGUGGGGGAUAACGUAGGGAAACUUACGCUAAUACCGCAUACGACCUACGGGUGAAAGCAGGGGAUCUUCGGACCUUGCGCGAUUGAAUGAGCCGAUGUCGGAUUAGCUAGUUGGCGGGGUAAAGGCCCACCAAGGCGACGAUCCGUAGCUGGUCUGAGAGGAUGACCGGCCACCGGGAACCGGACACACGCCCCGGCCCCUUCGGGGGGGAGGCGGGGGGAAUUUUUGAAAAGGGGCCCAAGGCUGAUCCCGCCCUCCCGGGGGGGGUAAAAAGGCCUUCGGGUUUGAAAGCCCUUUUUGUGGGAAAAAAAAGCAAGAGGUUAAAUCCCCCGUUGUUUGACGGGUCCCAAAAAAAAAGCCCCGGCCAACUUCGGG
rnacentral:rRNA from 1 species